GGGCACAUGGUGUAGCUGGUUAUCACGCUCGCUUUGCAUCUCAGUUCUUUAGAUCUGCGAGUGGUCUCCGGUUCGAUUCCGGAUGUGUCCA
rfam:Termitomyces sp. J132 unplaced genomic scaffold scaffold459, whole genome shotgun sequence.